rnacentral:tRNA from 1 species
GGAGGAGUGGCAGAGCGGUUUAAUGCAUCGGUCUUGAAAACCGACGUGUCGAAAGGCACCGGGGGUUCGAAUCCCUCCUCCUCCGCCC